rnacentral:misc_RNA from 1 species
AUGAGUGGUGUUGGGCGUCUGGCGCCCGCGGGAUCCCCUGCCUAGUGCAGCCGACCGCGAGCGCCGCGCCUUUUCGSUUGRUCCCCCCCCUGAGGAGGGAAAAGCCGGGACGGUCUGUGCGGAAUAGUCGGUGCGCGGCAAUCUCUAGACCCAAAUGCGAUGCGCGUCGGCUCUCUCCCACCCGCGUUGCGCGGAUGCGGCGGAGAGGCGACCAGCUGCGGCGCUCCGAGCGUCCCCCCGCGGCCCGCGGGCGGCCGCGUCGGGGCCUCGGUGCGCCGGAGUGCUUUGCGGAUGCGGUGGAUCGGAUGGCGGCGUCGGGGCGUUUCGCGCCCCGGCGUCUGACGACGCGCGUCCGGCCUUCUCGGCGACGGCGCGUGGCGCUGCGCGGAAGCGCUCGCGCCCCGCUGUCGCGCGGGCGGCCGGCGCGCGAGAUUCGGGAACGAGCGCCGGCGCUGGGCCAAUCGGCGCGGCCUGCGCCUUGAUGCGCGGGCGGCGUCGGGCGGCCCCGCGCGCGGGCGCCGUGCGGAGGAACGCUACCUGGUUGAUC